GACGAACGCUGGCGGCGUGCCUAAUACAUGCAAGUCGAACGAGAGCGACCGGUGCUUGCACUGGUCAAUCUAGUGGCGAACGGGUGAGUAACACGUGGGUAACCUGCCCAUCAGAGGGGGAUAACAUUCGGAAACGGAUGCUAAAACCGCAUAGGUCUUCGAACCGCAUGGUUUGAAGAGGAAAAGAGGCGCAAGCUUCUGCUGAUGGAUGGACCCGCGGUGCAUUAGCUAGUUGGUGAGGUAACGGCUCACCAAGGCCGUGAUGCAUAGCCGACCUGAGAGGGUGAUCGGCCACAUUGGGACUGAGACACGGCCCAAACUCCUACGGGAGGCAGCAGUAGGGAAUCUUCCGCAAUGGACGAAAGUCUGACGGAGCAACGCCGCGUGAGUGAAGAAGGUUUUCGGAUCGUAAAACUCUGUUGUUAGAGAAGAAUAAGUGCUAGAGUAACUGUUAGCGCCUUGACGGUAUCUAACCAGAAAGCCACGGCUAACUACGUG
rnacentral:rRNA from 1 species